UUGUGACCAGGGAAAGAAUUCAAAAUACAUAACUGCUCUCUCAUUCACUGACAAGAAAGACAUUCUACUGAUAAUGGUCCAACUCUUCUUCAAAUUACACAGGCAUGGAAUGCAAUAUGCAGAAGUUGAGAGCCUGCCUUUAUUGUGUUUUAAUAUUUUCCAAAUACCUCUCUCCCACAAUAAGAUGAAAGCAUGUUGUGAAAUCUAAAAAAGAAGCUGUACGUGAGGAAACAGCCAGUCUUUUAGAGGGAAGGAUUAAAACAAAAUCAAGAUGGAGCGUGUGACCAUGUGAUCAAAGCUCGUCCCCCUUUUUUUACAUCAGUUUCACAACACAGCUUUCAAAACAACCACCAACAUCUCUGAGGGAGAAGGGUGAUUAAGAAAAAUGAAAUGUACAUUAAAAAAUAAGUAAGUAAAUAAAUAAAGUGAUGCCUUCAACUAC